GUUUCUGGCCCUGCCAGUGUCUCCGCCGGUUGAAAGCGCGUGUCUGCGUCGGGUUCUGUUGGAGUGCGUUCGGUGCGCCGUGGGUCCGCGCUGCUUCCACCCAACUUCCUGUUAGGUUACAUUAGUUAUAAUAUACACUCUGGAGGUGACUUGACUUGUCAUUGUGAACAACUAUUGCUCU
rnacentral:lncRNA from 1 species